ACGAUCUGAUAAACAGUUUGCAACUAUAAAACACAAGAUCUCAAGCUACAUGAGGUAUAAAUUAUCCACUUGAACUUUGAAUAAAAAAAAAAUGAAGACAACUCUCAUUCUCUUCGGUAUCAUUGUGGCGGCAACCCUUGUGUCAGCUGCACUGCACGACCGAAAGGCACUAUCACAGAGGUAUGUGAACAUGAUUCAACAAAAGUGUUGUAGUCAUGGCUGGGCAUGUUGCGAUGAAACGGCAGAAGUUGAAGCUGACAACACACUGCUCCGCCAAGAAAAGGCACUAUCACAGAGGUAUGUGAACCUGAUUCAACAAAAGUGUUGUAGUCAUGGCUGGUCAUGUUGCGAUGAAACGGCAGAAGUUGAAGCUGACCGUCAACACACUGCUCCGCCAAGGAAAUGCACUAUCACAGAGGUAUGUGAACAUGAUUCAACAAAAGUGUUGUAGUCAUGGCUGGGCAUGUUGCGAUGAAACGGCAGAAGUUGAAGCUGACAACACACUGCUCCGUCAAGAUACAGCAGACAUCGCUAAGGAGUUAGACAUGGAAACAGUUCGUUGCUGUGAGGACGGUACCAAGGCUUGCUGUGACGCACUUUGGGCCGUAAUACGCACUUGGCACUGACACUAAUGUACAUUUUAUUGACAUUAUUUUAUAGCUAUAGUAGACGAUUAUGAGUUUAUGCAUGCAUGAGGACUUUUUUAACUGAUUAUUAUGCUAGCAA